rnacentral:rRNA from 2 species
UACAGAGGUCCCAAGCGUUGUUCGGAUUCACUGGGCGUAAAGGGUGCGUAGGUGGUCGGGUAAGUCUGAUGUGAAAUCUUCGAGCUCAACUCGAAAAUGGCAUUGGAUACUAUUCGGCUGGAGGGUUGGAAGGGGGACUGGAAUUCUCGGUGUAGCAGUGAAAUGCGUAGAUAUCGUAAGGAAGACCAGUGGCGAAGGCGGGUCUCUGGACAGUUCCUGACGCUGAGGCACGAAGGUCAGGGGAGCAAACGGG